GGGGACGUUACGGAUUCGACAGGGGUAGUUCGAGCUUAAGUCGCGAGUCGAGGGGUCGGCCUCGUUAAAACGCAAAAGCCAAUAACUGGCAAAAACACAAACUUAUCUUUAGCUGCUUAAUGCACUAAAGGCUCCUCCUAUGUAUCGCCCAUGUGCAUAGCUUAGAGGGGUUCACUCAUUAGUGGGCUACGCCGGACCUCGCCGUCUGAGGGGAAAGGAAGAGAUUAAUCAGACUAGCUGUUAGGAAGCCUGUCAAUGGGCCGAAUAACAUGCGAAAUACCAAUCUAUUGACUACGCUCGUAGAAGCUUAAGUGCCGAUAUUCUUGGACGUGGGUUCGACUCCCACCGUCUCCACCA
rnacentral:tmRNA from 1 species